rnacentral:lncRNA from 1 species
UCUCUCUACCAAUCCCACUUGCUCACAAAUUGUUAAAAAUAAAACCAUCUGCUCCUUGUUUUUUUUAUUUAUAUAUAAUUCUAAUUGAUUAAAAAAAGUAAAAACGAGGCAUAUAUAAUUUUAUAAUUCCCAUCCGCUUCUAAUGCGAUGAGGAUGCCUGAAAUCAUAGGUCAGCAAUAAGCUUCCAUCCAUUCUCUUCAAGGCAAACCUCUCAACCAAAACAUAGCAACCAAAUCUCCUCCACUUCCCCUUGCCAUCAAAAACCUCUUCUCUCUUCACCCUCACCUCCCUUUCAUCCCCGCUAGCACCCCCUACUCCUUGCACCCACUUCAUUCCCUCCACAAUCUCCAUUCUCAGUCCCACACUUGCUUCUGAUCCUGUCACUCUGUUGAAACUCCUGAACCACGUCACCCCAUCAACAACAUCCCUUUGGUCCGCCACAGCUUCUGUCCCACCAACUGUAACAACUUCACAUUCAACAGCAACAUCCACAGUUACAGUAUUGCCUUCAUUAUACAUAUCUUCACAAGCAAAGAUUUGCUCCCAUUGUUGCUCGAGUGUCAUCUCAUAAUAGGUUGAAUGUUUCAUUUGAUCUUUAAGAGCUGUCCCUUCCUUGAUAAACAUGAAAGGGCAAUACCACUUCCCCGCUACUACAGGCGGGGAACAUUUUUGUGACACUGGGAAGUUGAAGUCCGGGAGGCGGGCGCGGAGAGCUGUGUUAAGGCCUGGUGCUUCAUUUAGCUGGAACUCCUUUGAAGUUGAGGUAUACACUCGCCAGCCCUUUCUCCUCAGGAAAUCUGGAGGAAACCCAUCUGAAGCUACGGAUUUAGCAGCAAAAUCUCCCCGUUUACGGUGUUGAAUCUCAAAUUGCUGAUAAAUGUUUCUUGGGUCCAAAGGUUGCGGUUUUAAAUCAGAUAUACGGGUGCAGAAACAGCAUGUUUUCAUAUCCUCUUCCUUGGAGUUUAUGUAAGCUUCCCUGAAAGCCAAUAUGAGUGUGGAUUUAUUAAGAAUUGGCUAAUUAAAACGAGCGAGAAAAAAAAAAGGAAAUGUUUGCGCCCAUUUUCUUAAUCCAGAAACGCAGCGGUGAUUCAUAUGUUAGGUUCCCAGCUGACGCAAUCUUUCCAUGUUGUUUGAGAUCUUGAAUUGAUUUCAAAGAUAUAGAGGAUAUGGGAAAAAAAAAAAGCAAAAGAAAAACAAAACAAGGUGAAGUUGGAGGUAGAGCACACACAUACCCUUUAUGCUUCCCUUUUCUCUCAACCACGUAGUAUUGAUUGGAAGAUAAUGGCUGAUUGAGAACAGGAGUGAAAAGAACACGGUUCGUAUGAACGUGUUGAUUCUCCCCAGUUUGCUGCGUAUACGUAACCAUCAAGUUCUUGUUUUGAGGAAAAGGCAGGCCCCAGCUUACUCGAUCACUCUUGAACAAUCCACAACAGAAGGUAGGCACUGCAACUUCUUCAUCCUGGAUUACCAAUACACCAGAAUUUGGACCCUCGGGAGGCGGUGAUGAAAGAGCUGAAGGAUCUCUUAGAUACAUCGAAAGAGGCCUUGUCACAUACAUUUCCUCUCAAACUUUUCUCUGCGUAUAGUGACCAAGCAAAAAUUCUUUAUCUUAUCCUUAAUUUCAAAUGUUGUUUUAGGAGUCAAAUCAUAAUUUGUCAAACUAUGGAGAAUUAAAAUGUAAUUUUUAUAUAUCAGGACCAAACUGAAAUUUUAUAAUUUUCAACCGUGAAACUACUUUAUCUAGAAUUUCUAGCAAAGAUUGUUCCAAAUUUCUUAGCCAUUCUUGCCCAUGACACAUCAAAGAAACAAAUCAACCUCAUGUUAUUAUCCCUAACAAAAUCAUUCAAAAUCAAUUAAUUUCAACAUUAACCCAUAUUAAUCAUCAAUUAUUGAAACUUAAAAACAUAAAUUUCAAAUAUUUAGAAACAUUAACACGUUAAAAAAAAAAAUGUAAUGAGCAACAAAAACAAAAAUCAUGUAUAUCAAAUUACGAUCUCAACACAAAAACGUAAUUUAUCCAUCACUCAUGAUCCUUUUUUUCUUUUCCUUCCUCCUCUUUUUCUUUUGGUUUUCUCCGUUUCUGGUUUCUUCUUCUUUUUUCUUUUUUUAUCUCUCUCUAUAUAUCAAUCUAUGUGAAACGACUGACGUGUCCCCAACCAUUACCAACCACAUAAGGUUGUUCAAAUCGCGAUUUUAACACGGCACGGAAAAUACAAAACAAACUCGGAUCGUAAAAACAGAUCGUAAAAUCGUAAGGAAUUUUAAAAUAUAUUAACAAAAAAUUCAUGAUUCAAAUAAAAAUUCAUACAUAUACUAUACAAUUAAUUUUUUCGUAAAAUCAUUCUAUCAUUCCAUUAAUAAAAUCAAUUUCAUCAUUCCAUCAUAUACUAAAAUAGCAUCUUAAAACCAUUCCAUCAUUCCACAAUGCCAUACAGACACAACUAAUUCAAUCCAAUCCAAUCCAAUAGUCCACAGUAUACUGUUCCAUCAAUUCCAUUUAAUUCAUUCCAUCAAUUCAAGGGACAGAAAAACAUUAUAAAUGGACAAAUUACAGGACCGGCAAAAUCAUUCCAUCAAAAAUGUAUAAACGCCUGAAGCAGAAAAAUUAUUUGAUUAACAAUUGUAGCUAUGAAUUCCAGCAAGGUUCAUACAACAUCUACUCUCCAUUAUGCUAAACUUCUCAAGAAAAGAAAAUUAUGACUAUAUAUGAAGGGUUAGCACUACAACUCAAAGAAUCUUGUAGAUAAAAGAAGAUGGAAAGCCUAAAGAAUGAACGAGCAGUACAAAUAAAAAAGUAUAUUAGUACUUGAUAUCAGGAUUUUAGACUAAUAAUUUGUCAUGAUCUACAUAAGUUUGCAGUAACAGUUUCUUCUAGGGAGAAGAAUCUGAUAGCCUGUCACAAAGACAUUUGCAAUGUAUCAUCAAGCAUUCCCCAGUUCUUUUGUCGUCACAGAUUCUUCACAACUUGUCACUGCAUCACUUUUCAUCAAACCGACAGUCCACGUAUCAAAAUUUUGAAUACAUCCUAGGAAACAAAAUUCAUCCCAGAGUUAAGGUCAAUACAAUAGCUAGGCAAAAUGGAACACGUUACAAUCUAACUUUGAUUUUGAUCCAAAUUUUCAUGGAAGUGAACAAAGUGGAAAAUUAAAGAUAAAUGGUUGUACCUUGAUUGCAUUAGUGCUCUCUAGUUCAGUGAUUUUACCAUCUUCUUCAUGAUUUUCAUGUAGUGGCUCUUCGUUUGCAGGCAUUAUAAUUUAUUUUUAUUUUUUUGAUUUACGUGGGUAUCCGGGCCAGCUUGCGCGCACCACGACUAAUUUCACGGCUCGCUGAACAUCCUGCAAACCCAGUGAGCAUGUAAGGCACUGCGGGAGUGACAGGCGUACACGCUGAGGCUUGAACCCAGGAUGCAGAGGUAAGGAAACUCCUUGCCACCGCUGGGCUACAAGCCUCGGUGUCAGGCAUUAUAAUUUCAUUCCACCACUGGUUGAUCUUCGUCAUGUUGUUCCUCAUUUUCUUCAGCCACUAUUAUUAAACACCAAUUCCAAAAUUUUCAUUAUAAUUAGACCCAAUUAUCUUAAAGAACAAUUAAAAUUACACUACAAGAUUUAACAGUUUUACCGAUGAAAUUUUUCCGUCGGCGUAAUUAAGACACAUAUUCCAUCGGUAAUUAAUUUACCGACGAAAUCACCGACGAAAAUUCUCCGUCGGUGAAUUUUUGUCCGUCGGUAAAUCCGUUGGUAAUAAAAAAAAUAUUAUUACCGAUGGAUUUACUGGCGGAAUAGACGCGUCAGUAAAAAUAUUUUUUUAUUACCGACGGAAAGUUCCGUCGGUAUUAUUUAAAAACAUUUUAAAAAAAAUUCAUUUUAUAAAAUUAUAAAAUAAUUAAAUUAACAUAAAUCAACAUUGCAUAAUAUAUACUCAAAAUGCUUGGGAAAAAAAAAGAAUAAGAAAAUCAACUCAAACAAAUUUGCAACAAAUAAAUAAAACAAAAGAAUUAGUUCAACUAAAAAAAAUCAUAUGAAAAAAAUGAAGUUCCAAUUGCUAAAAAUUUAAAAAUCCUAUAAAUAAAUCAACUAAAAAUUGAUCUCAUAUGAAAAAAAAAAUUCACAACAACAUCUAUACAAUUAUGAAGAACAAAAUCAAUUAAAAAUAAAAUAAAAAAACAAAUAUAGUGAAAACAAUCAUGAAAAAAUAAGAAAAAAGAAAAAUAUUACCUUAAUGUACUUGCAAGUGAAGCUAAGGAAUUUUUUUUUGUAAAGCAUAUUAAUUAAAAAAGAAACUAAGAGGAUAAAAGAAGAAAGAAGAAGAAGACAUACCCGAGCAUGGAGGAAAAGAGAAGGAGAUGAGGAGAGAAAAGAAGAAAAAAAAUAAAUAUUGAUGUUUUUUACAUAUAGUGAAGAAGAAGAAGUAGAAGAAGAAGAAGAAGAAAUAAUGAGUCUGUCUCUUGUGAAAUAAGCGGAGUCAGGUUUUUUAUUGGGGCGCGUUACCGACGGAUUUACCGAAGAAUAAUUGAAUAUUAAUAUUUUUUAAUUAUUCCAUCUGUAAUUUCGUAAAAAGUUUUCAGAAACCGUCAAAAAUUACUGACGAUUUUUCAAUCCGUCGGUGAUUCCGUCUGUAAUAUUUAAAUGAAAAUUUUAAAUCAAUUGAAUUUUUUCAGAAAACCGUCAAAUAACACCCACGUAUUUUCAAUCCGUCGGUGAUUUUGUCCGUAAAGAACAACACUUAACAGUGCAAUUGGAAGGUGAACAGUUCUGGAGCUCUCUGGAAAAUACCGACAGCAAAUUCCGUCGAUAAUUCCCUUUGUAAUUGACAUGAUGAACAAUAUUCACAGUUUACCAACGGAUUUACCAAAUUACCGACGGAAAAAAUUUCGUCGUGUCGGUAAUUCUGUUGGUAAAAAAUGACACGUUAUCAUUUUUUUUGCUUUGUUUUAAUUUUUUUUCCCACGGUAAUUCCCUCGGUAUUUCCAUUUGUAUUUAUUGAUUUUCUGGUAGUGUUAACCCAAGAAUCCAAAAAAGUAAAAAAAAAUUAAUAAUAAUAAUAAUAAAAAAAACCACAUAUCUGCUUCUCUAUAAGUAUUUUAGAAAACCAUUUUAAUACUUCGGUGUGAGCUUUACAACCAUCAAGCCUUAGACUGUUGAAGCAGUAAAUGGAGGGACAAUGAUUUGUUCUUCUCCACGUAAGGAUUUCAGGUCGACGAUGCAGGGAGUAAAAACCAGAGGCGAAAAAGAAAAAACAAAGCUUGGGAAUAAAUUCUUACCUUAUUCUCGAUAGCAAGCAAAACAAGAGGCACUGAGAGAGUGGAGAGUGAAAAGUGGAGAUUGGGGAUAAUUAGAUUCAGAAUUUCAAAUCUUAAAUAUUUAGCAGACAAUUAGUAAAAAUGGAGAGUAAAGAGUACUGCGAACAGGGAAAGGGAGGGGGUGGGGAAGGGAAAGGGGAAACUGGGGAAGGGGAAAGGGCAACGGGAAAGGGUGGAGGCGCUGCAACUGUUUUAUAUUUCACGUGAAAUCGUGAAAUCGGUUCGUGUUUAAUGUUUUUUCCGAGUUAGACUGAUUUUAUACAAGUUUGACCGGGUUUGACCGAUUUUACUGGUUUUCAAGUUUUAAAUCCGAUUUUGCACGUUUUAUAUGUUUUGACUCGUAAAAUGGUAUGAUUUUACGAGUUAAAACGUGAUUUUGAUAAUCUUGCAACCACAGCCAUGCACAUAAGGGCAAUACCGUCUGUUUAUCCAAACUUACAUAAGCAUGCAUGAUUAAUAAGAAACUGGUCCCUAGUUAACUUCCAUAAAUGAUGAAGCUUUUCAGACACGAAGAUUCGUGAGAUUUUCAUAAACAUUUGAAGACAUGAUGGAGCUCGUUAAUUUCUGGAUAUCAAGUAGCUCAAAAAUUCUGUUCGGGGAGUUGAAACAAAACGGCAAUCUUCCAUGCAAGUCAGAAAAGGUAUAGCGGUUAACAAAAAAACUGAUGCUUAUAGCUACAUGAACCAAUCAAAACUUUUAAGGAGCAUAAAAGACUGUUCAAUCAUUCUCAGAUUGGCCUCAUAUUCCGACAUCUAUCAUGCAUGUAUAAUGUAUCGAGAGAGACCGAAGAGUUAGUAUUGUCAAUUAAAACCUAUUAUGAGGUUUGAUGCAAGCUUUGUGUCUGUCAAGAGCUUACAUUCAGCAGAACUAGACAUGCUAUUUGUGAAAGAUUGAACCUGCAGAGUUAGCUGUUGGAUAGUUUCCUUUCACUGUUUGAUUUAUUAUUUUUUUGUAAGGUCCUUUGGCCUUCAAUUUUUGGAUGUUGCAGAUAAUUUUGUUUUCACAUCAGUCCAAUCACUGAAAAUUGAUUCAUUCCUUGAAAUGAUAAUUCUCAAUUCUCUAUAAAGGAUCUAGUCCAUUUCCUCUUCCUUCCUUCCCUUUUCCUUGCCGAAAUCAUGUUUUUGUUAUUAGGCAUGGGAUGUUUCUUAAAGCAUUAUUUAUCCCAUUGUCUCAAUCUUCUCGUGUAUAUAUAGAGAGAUAAGGAAGAUAUCAAUCUGAAAAGUCAAUAGCACAGACAAUUUAGACAAGUAAUAAGAAUCCUACAAGAGGAAAAGUAGAUCAAAAGGUUCUGCAAUGUUGAUACUUGGUCAAACCGGUUGAUUUGUUAUAUUUAGUUUUAAAAAUGUACAAUAUUUGUCGCCAACAGUGCAGCUUUGGAUUUUGGAAUAUUGAUUCUUCCAGCCAAAAAUACUAGGUUAUCUUAUUAGCUUAAUCGUUAUCUUAUUAGUGGGGGCAGAGGAAGAAUAUUUAUGAUCAUCCGUGCCCAAUCGUUAUCUUAUUAGCUUUGAAAUCCGUGUCAUUGUGCAAUUUUAAUCAAUUUAUUAGCUCAACCUAUAAUUUCAAAAUAGUUUAUUCACUGCAAUCGCUUGAAUUUAUAAAAAAAAAAAAAAAAAAAAAACAUCAAGGCAGACCAAAGGGUUUUUUUGGUGUGCAGUAAUGCAGUUUGUAAUGUUUUUCAAAGACAUUUUUUAUAUCUUUUAAUUUUUAACCUUAACACGUCAAAUUAAUUAAAAAUAUUAAAUAAAUAUUUUUAAAAUAAAAAUAAUUUAAAAAACUACUACAACCACGGUAUCAUAGAUAGGCUAACACUACACAUCUUAUAACUGAAAUGGUACCACGUGUAACAUAUGAAUACAGCAAAAGAGAGGAAAAACAUAAAACAUUCUCAUUCUUCCCAGUACAUUAAAUCCCUCAACCAACACAUAGCAUCCAGAUUUCCUCUCUCUACCAAUCCCACUUGCUCACAAAUUGUUAAAAAUAAAACCAUCUGCUCCUUGUUUUUUUUAUUUAUAUAUAAUUCUAAUUGAUUAAAAAAAGUAAAAACGAGGCAUAUAUAAUUUUAUAAUUCCCAUCCGCUUCUAAUGCGAUGAGGAUGCCUGAAAUCAUAGGUCAGCAAUAAGCUUCCAUCCAUUCUCUUCAAGGCAAACCUCUCAACCAAAACAUAGCAACCAAAUCUCCUCCACUUCCCCUUGCCAUCAAAAACCUCUUCUCUCUUCACCCUCACCUCCCUUUCAUCCCCGCUAGCACCCCCUACUCCUUGCACCCACUUCAUUCCCUCCACAAUCUCCAUUCUCAGUCCCACACUUGCUUCUGAUCCUGUCACUCUGUUGAAACUCCUGAACCACGUCACCCCAUCAACAACAUCCCUUUGGUCCGCCACAGCUUCUGUCCCACCAACUGUAACAACUUCACAUUCAACAGCAACAUCCACAGUUACAGUAUUGCCUUCAUUAUACAUAUCUUCACAAGCAAAGAUUUGCUCCCAUUGUUGCUCGAGUGUCAUCUCAUAAUAGGUUGAAUGUUUCAUUUGAUCUUUAAGAGCUGUCCCUUCCUUGAUAAACAUGAAAGGGCAAUACCACUUCCCCGCUACUACAGGCGGGGAACAUUUUUGUGACACUGGGAAGUUGAAGUCCGGGAGGCGGGCGCGGAGAGCUGUGUUAAGGCCUGGUGCUUCAUUUAGCUGGAACUCCUUUGAAGUUGAGGUAUACACUCGCCAGCCCUUUCUCCUCAGGAAAUCUGGAGGAAACCCAUCUGAAGCUACGGAUUUAGCAGCAAAAUCUCCCCGUUUACGGUGUUGAAUCUCAAAUUGCUGAUAAAUGUUUCUUGGGUCCAAAGGUUGCGGUUUUAAAUCAGAUAUACGGGUGCAGAAACAGCAUGUUUUCAUAUCCUCUUCCUUGGAGUUUAUGUAAGCUUCCCUGAAAGCCAAUAUGAGUGUGGAUUUAUUAAGAAUUGGCUAAUUAAAACGAGCGAGAAAAAAAAAAGGAAAUGUUUGCGCCCAUUUUCUUAAUCCAGAAACGCAGCGGUGAUUCAUAUGUUAGGUUCCCAGCUGACGCAAUCUUUCCAUGUUGUUUGAGAUCUUGAAUUGAUUUCAAAGAUAUAGAGGAUAUGGGAAAAAAAAAAAGCAAAAGAAAAACAAAACAAGGUGAAGUUGGAGGUAGAGCACACACAUACCCUUUAUGCUUCCCUUUUCUCUCAACCACGUAGUAUUGAUUGGAAGAUAAUGGCUGAUUGAGAACAGGAGUGAAAAGAACACGGUUCGUAUGAACGUGUUGAUUCUCCCCAGUUUGCUGCGUAUACGUAACCAUCAAGUUCUUGUUUUGAGGAAAAGGCAGGCCCCAGCUUACUCGAUCACUCUUGAACAAUCCACAACAGAAGGUAGGCACUGCAACUUCUUCAUCCUGGAUUACCAAUACACCAGAAUUUGGACCCUCGGGAGGCGGUGAUGAAAGAGCUGAAGGAUCUCUUAGAUACAUCGAAAGAGGCCUUGUCACAUACAUUUCCUCUCAAACUUUUCUCUGCGUAUAGUGACCAAGCAAAAAUUCUUUAUCUUAUCCUUAAUUUCAAAUGUUGUUUUAGGAGUCAAAUCAUAAUUUGUCAAACUAUGGAGAAUUAAAAUGUAAUUUUUAUAUAUCAGGACCAAACUGAAAUUUUAUAAUUUUCAACCGUGAAACUACUUUAUCUAGAAUUUCUAGCAAAGAUUGUUCCAAAUUUCUUAGCCAUUCUUGCCCAUGACACAUCAAAGAAACAAAUCAACCUCAUGUUAUUAUCCCUAACAAAAUCAUUCAAAAUCAAUUAAUUUCAACAUUAACCCAUAUUAAUCAUCAAUUAUUGAAACUUAAAAACAUAAAUUUCAAAUAUUUAGAAACAUUAACACGUUAAAAAAAAAAAUGUAAUGAGCAACAAAAACAAAAAUCAUGUAUAUCAAAUUACGAUCUCAACACAAAAACGUAAUUUAUCCAUCACUCAUGAUCCUUUUUUUCUUUUCCUUCCUCCUCUUUUUCUUUUGGUUUUCUCCGUUUCUGGUUUCUUCUUCUUUUUUCUUUUUUUAUCUCUCUCUAUAUAUCAAUCUAUGUGAAACGACUGACGUGUCCCCAACCAUUACCAACCACAUAAGGUUGUUCAAAUCGCGAUUUUAACACGGCACGGAAAAUACAAAACAAACUCGGAUCGUAAAAACAGAUCGUAAAAUCGUAAGGAAUUUUAAAAUAUAUUAACAAAAAAUUCAUGAUUCAAAUAAAAAUUCAUACAUAUACUAUACAAUUAAUUUUUUCGUAAAAUCAUUCUAUCAUUCCAUUAAUAAAAUCAAUUUCAUCAUUCCAUCAUAUACUAAAAUAGCAUCUUAAAACCAUUCCAUCAUUCCACAAUGCCAUACAGACACAACUAAUUCAAUCCAAUCCAAUCCAAUAGUCCACAGUAUACUGUUCCAUCAAUUCCAUUUAAUUCAUUCCAUCAAUUCAAGGGACAGAAAAACAUUAUAAAUGGACAAAUUACAGGACCGGCAAAAUCAUUCCAUCAAAAAUGUAUAAACGCCUGAAGCAGAAAAAUUAUUUGAUUAACAAUUGUAGCUAUGAAUUCCAGCAAGGUUCAUACAACAUCUACUCUCCAUUAUGCUAAACUUCUCAAGAAAAGAAAAUUAUGACUAUAUAUGAAGGGUUAGCACUACAACUCAAAGAAUCUUGUAGAUAAAAGAAGAUGGAAAGCCUAAAGAAUGAACGAGCAGUACAAAUAAAAAAGUAUAUUAGUACUUGAUAUCAGGAUUUUAGACUAAUAAUUUGUCAUGAUCUACAUAAGUUUGCAGUAACAGUUUCUUCUAGGGAGAAGAAUCUGAUAGCCUGUCACAAAGACAUUUGCAAUGUAUCAUCAAGCAUUCCCCAGUUCUUUUGUCGUCACAGAUUCUUCACAACUUGUCACUGCAUCACUUUUCAUCAAACCGACAGUCCACGUAUCAAAAUUUUGAAUACAUCCUAGGAAACAAAAUUCAUCCCAGAGUUAAGGUCAAUACAAUAGCUAGGCAAAAUGGAACACGUUACAAUCUAACUUUGAUUUUGAUCCAAAUUUUCAUGGAAGUGAACAAAGUGGAAAAUUAAAGAUAAAUGGUUGUACCUUGAUUGCAUUAGUGCUCUCUAGUUCAGUGAUUUUACCAUCUUCUUCAUGAUUUUCAUGUAGUGGCUCUUCGUUUGCAGGCAUUAUAAUUUAUUUUUAUUUUUUUGAUUUACGUGGGUAUCCGGGCCAGCUUGCGCGCACCACGACUAAUUUCACGGCUCGCUGAACAUCCUGCAAACCCAGUGAGCAUGUAAGGCACUGCGGGAGUGACAGGCGUACACGCUGAGGCUUGAACCCAGGAUGCAGAGGUAAGGAAACUCCUUGCCACCGCUGGGCUACAAGCCUCGGUGUCAGGCAUUAUAAUUUCAUUCCACCACUGGUUGAUCUUCGUCAUGUUGUUCCUCAUUUUCUUCAGCCACUAUUAUUAAACACCAAUUCCAAAAUUUUCAUUAUAAUUAGACCCAAUUAUCUUAAAGAACAAUUAAAAUUACACUACAAGAUUUAACAGUUUUACCGAUGAAAUUUUUCCGUCGGCGUAAUUAAGACACAUAUUCCAUCGGUAAUUAAUUUACCGACGAAAUCACCGACGAAAAUUCUCCGUCGGUGAAUUUUUGUCCGUCGGUAAAUCCGUUGGUAAUAAAAAAAAUAUUAUUACCGAUGGAUUUACUGGCGGAAUAGACGCGUCAGUAAAAAUAUUUUUUUAUUACCGACGGAAAGUUCCGUCGGUAAUUAUUUAAAAACAUUUUAAAAAAAAUUCAUUUUAUAAAAUUAUAAAAUAAUUAAAUUAACAUAAAUCAACAUUGCAUAAUAUAUACUCAAAAUGCUUGGGAAAAAAAAAGAAUAAGAAAAUCAACUCAAACAAAUUUGCAACAAAUAAAUAAAACAAAAGAAUUAAUUCAACUAAAAAAAAUCAUAUGAAAAAAAUGAAGUUCCAAUUGCUAAAAAUUUAAAAAUCCUAUAAAUAAAUCAACUAAAAAUUGAUCUCAUAUGAAAAAAAAAUCUCACAACAACAUUUAUACAAUUAUUAAGAACAAAAUCAAUUAAAAUAAAAAAAAACAAAUAUAGUGAAAAAAUCAUGAAAAAUAAGAAAAAAGAAAAAUCUUACCUUAAUGUACUUGCAAGUGAAGCUAAGGAAUUGUAAAGCAUAUUAAUUAAAAAAAAACUAAGAGGAUAAAAGAAGAAAGAAGAAGAAGACAUACCCGAGCAUGGAGGAAAAGAGAAGGAGAUGAGGAGAGAAAGAAGAAAAAGAAAUAGAUAUUGAUGUUUUUUACAUAUAGUGAAGAAGAAGAAGUAGAAGAAGAAGAAGAAGAAAUAAUGAGUCUGUCUCUUGUGAAAUAAGCGGAUUCAGGUUUUUUAUUGGGGCGCGUUACCGACGGAUUUACCGAGAAUAAUUGAAUAUUAAUAUUUUUUAAUUAUUCCAUUUAAUUUCGUAAAAAGUUUUCAGAAACCGCCAAAAAUUACCGACGAUUUUUCAAUCCGUCGGUGAUUCCGUCUGUAAUAUUUAAAUGAAAAUUUUAAAUCAAUUGAAUUUUUUCAGAAAACCGCCAAAUAACACCGACGAUUUUCAAUCCGUCGGUGAUUUUGUCCGUAAAGAAAACAAUUAACAGUGCAAUUGGAAGUGAACAGUUCUGGAGCUCUCUGGAAAAUACCGACGGAAAUUCCGUCGUAAUUCCCUUUGUAAUUGACAUGAUGAACAAUGUUCACAGUUUACCAACGGAUUUACCAAAUUACCGACGGAAAAUUCGUCGGUAAUUCGUUGGUAAAAAAUGACACGUAUCAUUUUUUUUGCUUUGUUUUAAUUUUUUUUCCCACGGUAAUUCCCUCGGUAUUUCCAUUUGUAUUUAUUGAUUUUCUGGUAGUGUUAACCCAAGAAUCCAAAAAAGUAAAAAAAAAUUAAUAAUAAUAAUAAUAAAAAAAACCACAUAUCUGCUUCUCUAUAAGUAUUUUAGAAAACCAUUUUAAUACUUCGGUGUGAGCUUACAACCAUCAAGCCUUAGACUGUUGAAGCAGUAAAUGGAGGGACAAUGAUUUGUUCUUCUCCACGUAAGGAUUUCAGGUCGACGAUGCAGGGAGUAAAAACCAGAGGCGAAAAAGAAAAAACAAAGCUUGGGAAUAAAUUCUUACCUUAUUCUCGAUAGCAAGCAAAACAAGAGGCACUGAGAGAGUGGAGAGUGAAAAGUGGAGAUUGGGGAUAAUUAGAUUCAGAAUUUCAAAUCUUAAAUAUUUAGCAGACAAUUAGUAAAAAUGGAGAGUAAAGAGUACUGCGAACAGGGAAAGGGAGGGGGUGGGGAAGGGAAAGGGGAAACUGGGGAAGGGGAAAGGGCAACGGGAAAGGGUGGAGGCGCUGCAACUGUUUUAUAUUUCACGUGAAAUCGUGAAAUCGGUUCGUGUUUAAUGUUUUUUCCGAGUUAGACUGAUUUUAUACAAGUUUGACCGGGUUUGACCGAUUUUACUGGUUUUUCAAGUUUUAAAUCCGAUUUUGCACGUUUUAUAUGUUUUGACUCGUAAAAUGGUAUGAUUUUACGAGUUAAAACGUGAUUUUGAUAAUCUUGCAACCACAGCCAUGCACAUAAGGGCAAUACCGUCUGUUUAUCCAAACUUACAUAAGCAUGCAUGAUUAAUAAGAAACUGGUCCCUAGUUAACUUCCAUAAAUGAUGAAGCUUUUCAGACACGAAGAUUCGUGAGAUUUCAUAAACAUUUGAAGACAUGAUGGAGCUCGUUAAUUUCUGGAUAUCAAGUAGCUCAAAAAUUCUGUUCGGGGAGUUGAAACAAAACGGCAAUCUUCCAUGCAAGUCAGAAAAGGUAUAGCGGGUUAACAAAAAAACUGAUGCUUAUAGCUACAUGAACCAAUCAAAACUUUUAAGGAGCAUAAAAGACUGUUCAAUCAUUCUCAGAUUGGCCUCAUAUUCCGACAUCUAUCAUGCAUGUAUAAUGUAUCGAGAGAGACCGAAGAGUUAGUAUUGUCAAUUAAAACCUAUUAUGAGGUUUGAUGCAAGCUUUGUGUCUGUCAAGAGCUUACAUUCAGCAGAACUAGACAUGCUAUUUGUGAAAGAUUGAACCUGCAGAGUUAGCUGUUGGAUAGUUUCCUUUCACUUUGAUUUAUUAUUUUUUUUGUAAGGUCCUUUGGCCUUCAAUUUUUGGAUGUUGCAGAUAAUUUUGUUUUCACAUCAGUCCAAUCACUGAAAAUUGAUUCAUUCCUUGAAAUGAUAAUUCUCAAUUCUCUAUAAAGGAUCUAGUCAUUUCCUCUUCCUUCCUUCCCUUUUCCUUGCCGAAAUCAUGUUUUUGUUAUUAGGCAUGGGAUGUUUCUUAAAGCAUUAUUUAUCCCAUUGUCUCAAUCUUCUCGUGUAUAUAUAGAGAGAUAAGGAAGAUAUCAAUCUGAAAAGUCAAUAGCACAGACAAUUUAGACAAGUAAUAAGAAUCCUACAAGAGGAAAAGUAGAUCAAAAGGUUCUGCAAUGUUGAUACUUGGUCAAACCGGUUGAUUUGUUAUAUUUAGUUUUAAAAAUGUACAAUAUUUGUCGCCAACAGUGCAGCUUUGGAUUUUGGAAUAUUGAUUCUUCCAGCCAAAAAACUAGGUUAUCUUAUUAGCUUAAUCGUUAUCUUAUUAGUGGGGGCAGAGGAAGAAUAUUAUGAUCAUCCGUGCCCAAUCGUUAUCUUAUUAGCUUUGAAAUCCGUGUCAUUGUGCAAUUUUAAUCAAUUUAUUAGCUCAACCUAUAAUUUCAAAAUAGUUUAUUCACUGCAAUCGCUUGAAUUAUAAAAAAAAAAAAAAAAAAAAAAAAACAUCAAGGCAGACCAAAGGGUUUUUUUGGUGUGCAGUAAUGCAGUUUUGUAAUGUUUUUCAAAGACAUUUUUUAUAUCUUUUAAUUUUUAACCUUAACACAUCAAAUUAAUUAAAAAUAUUAAAUAAAUAUUUUUUAAAAUAAAAAUAAUUUAAAAAAACUACUACAACCACGGUAUCAUAGAUAGGCUAACACUACACAUCUUAUAACUGAAAUGGUACCACGUGUAACAUAUGAAUACAGCAAAAGAGAGGAAAAACAUAAAACAUUCUCAUUCUUCCCAGUACAUUAAAUCCCUCAACCAACACAUAGCAUCCAGAUUUCCUCUCUCUACCAAUCCCACUUGCUCACAAAUUGUUAAAAAUAAAACCAUCUGCUCCUUGUUUUUUUUAUUUAUAUAUAAUUCUAAUUGAUUAAAAAAAGUAAAAACGAGGCAUAUAUAUAUUUUAUAAUUCCCAUCCGCUUCUAAUGCGAUGAGGAUGCCUGAAAUCAUAGGUCAGCAAUAAGCUUCCAUCCAUUCUCUUCAAGGCAAACCUCUCAACCAAAACAUAGCAACCAAAUCUCCUCCACUUCCCCUUGCCAUCAAAAACCUCUUCUCUCUUCACCCUCACCUCCCUUUCAUCCCCGCUAGCACCCCCUACUCC